UAAGGAAUAUUGGACAAUGGACGCAAGUCUGAUCCAGCCAUGCCGCGUGAAGGAUGAAUGCCCUCUGGGUUGUAAACUUCUUUUAUAGGGGAAGAAAGAUACUUUUUUUAAGGUAGUUGACGGUACCCUAUGAAUAAGCACCGGCUAACUCCGUGCCAGCAGCCGCGGUAAUACGGAGGGUGCAAGCGUUAUCCGGAUUUACUGGGUUUAAAGGGUGCGUAGGCGGGCAUGUAAGUCAGUGGUGAAAUACCGGAGCUUAACUUCGGAACUGCCAUUGAUACUAUAUGUCUUGAAUAUUGUGGAGGUAAGCGGAAUAUGUCAUGUAGCGGUGAAAUGCAUAGAUAUGACAUGGAACACCGAUUGCGGAGGCAGCUUGCUACGCAAAUAUUGACGCUGAGGCACGAAAGCGUGGGGAUCAAACA
rnacentral:rRNA from 1 species